rnacentral:rRNA from 1 species
UACAGAGGUCUCGAGCGUUAGGCGGAAUCACUGGGCUUAAAGCGUGUGUAGGCGGAUCGGUAAGUACCUUGUGAAAUCCCACAGCUUAACUGUGGAACUGCUUGGUAUACUGCCAGUCUUGAGCCAGCUAGGGGCUACCGGAACAAAUGGUGGGGCGGUGAAAUGCGUAGAUAUCAUUUGGAACGCCAAUGGUGAAAACAGGUAGCUGGGGCUGUGCUGACGCUGAGACACGAAAGCCAGGGGAGCGAACGGG